AGCACCUGCAAAGGCCUGACCUGUCAGGCUCAAGUGUGAGUUGCCCAAGUACCCUCACCAAACUUCUGAUGACAAACCUGUCUCUUUCAGCAGUGUGCUCCUGAGAGUCUGCUGAGGAAUGAUGGGAAGUUGGCCCAGCAGAGAGAAAAGCCUGCCCACAAGCUCCAGCACCAUCUCCUCUGGUCCAGUCCAGGGACCUGUGUCCACACAAGCAGAGAGAAGCAAGGUCACAGCGGUGGCCCUGGGCAGUUUUCCAGCAGGUACACAGGCUGGACUGUCUCUGAGACUUGGGGAGCCACUGACCAUCGUCUCUGAGGAUGGAGAUUGGUGGACAGUCAUAUCGGAAGUCUCGGGGAGAGAGUACCACAUCCCCAGUGUGUACGUGGCUAAAGUCUCCCAUGGGUGGCUGUAUGAGGGUCUGAGUCGGGAAAGAGCUGAGGAACUGCUCUUGUUGCCUGGGAACCCCGGAGGGGCCUUCCUCAUCAGAGAGAGCCAGAGCAGGAGAGGCUGCUAUUCCCUGUCCGUCCGACUCAGUCGCCCAGCAUCUUGGGACCGGAUCAGACACUACAGGAUACAGCGCCUCGACAACGGCUGGCUGUACAUCUCACCACGCCUCACCUUCCCCUCGCUCCAGGCCCUGGUGGAUCAUUACUCAGAGCUGGCAGAUGACAUCUGCUGUGUGCUAAAGGAGCCCUGUGUCCUGCAGAAGCUUGGCCCACUACCUGGCAAAGAUAUACCUCUACCUGUGACUGUGCAGACGGCAUCACUCAACUGGAAAGAGCUGGAUAGGCUGUUUGUACACAGUAAGAAGAGCCAUGAACUACGCUGAAUGAUCUCAGAGAAAUCCUUUCAGAAUGCUACAGAAGGGCCAGGAAUUGGCACAUACCUUCAGUCCUGGCACUAGAGAAGUAGAAGCAGGAUAUCUCUGAAGAGCUGUAUGAACCCCAGGACUGAUAUCCUACCACCCCAAACAGUCUUACACGUCCACUCCAUUAAGACCCUGCACAGCAAGAUGGGUAGUGGUGGCGUCACCUUUAUCCCAGC